CGCGUAGGCGGUUGAGUAAGUCAAAUGUGAAAUCCCCGGGCUUAACCUGGGAACUGCAUUCGAUACUGCUUAACUGGAGUAUGGUAGAGGGAAGUGGAAUUCCGGGUGUAGCGGUGAAAUGCGUAGAUAUCCGGAGGAACACCAGUGGCGAAGGCGACUUCCUGGGCCAAUACUGACGCUGAGGUGCGAAAGCGUGGGGAGCAAACA
rnacentral:rRNA from 1 species